AUCCAACUGACGAGCCCCAAAUAGGACGAAACGCGCAUCCUGUAU
rfam:Schistosoma haematobium scaffold38_4, whole genome shotgun sequence.